GACGAACGCUGGCGGCGUGCUUAACACAUGCAAGUCGAACGGAAAGGCCCUGCUUUUGUGGGGUGCUCGAGUGGCGAACGGGUGAGUAACACGUGAGUAACCUGCCCUUGACUUUGGGAUAACUUCAGGAAACUGGGGCUAAUACCGGAUAGGAGCUCCUGCUGCAUGGUGGGGGUUGGAAAGUUUCGGCGGUUGGGGAUGGACUCGCGGCUUAUCAGCUUGUUGGUGGGGUAGUGGCUUACCAAGGCUUUGACGGGUAGCCGGCAUGAGAGGGUGACCGGCAAAAUUGGGACUGAGAGACGGCCCAGACGCCAACGGGAGGCAGCAGUGGGGAAUAUUGCACAAUGGGCGGAAGCCUGAUGCAGCAACGCCGCGUGCGGGAUGACGGCCUUCGGGUUGUAAACCGCUUUCGCCUGUGACGAAGCGUGAGUGACGGUAAUGGGUAAAGAAGCACCGGCUAACUACGUG
rnacentral:rRNA from 1 species